rnacentral:rRNA from 1 species
CCUACGGGUGGCAGCAGUGGGGAAUAUUGCACAAUGGGGAAACCCUGAUGCAGCGACGCCGCGUGAGCGCAGAAGUAUUUCGGUAUGUAAAGCUCUAUCAGCAGGGAAGAAGAAUGACGGUACCUGACUAAGAAGCUCCGGCUAAAUACGUGCCAGCAGCCGCGGUAAUACGUAUGGAGCAAGCGUUAUCCAGAUUUACUGGGUGUAAAGGGAGCGUAGGCGGUGCUAUAAGUCUGAUGUGAAAGCCCGGGGCUCAACCGCGGGACUGCAUUGGAAACUGUAGGACUGGAGUGUCGGAGGGGUAAGUGGAAUUCCUAGUGUAGCGGUGAAAUGCGUAGAUAUUAGGAGGAACACCGGUGGCGAAGGCGGCUUACUGGACGACAACUGACGCUGAGGCUCGAAAGCGUGGGGAGCAAACAGGAUUAGAUACCCGUGUAGUC